CAAGUCGAACGCGAAAGCCCCGCAAGGGGUAAGUAGAGUGGCAAACGGGUGAGUAACACGUGGGUGACCUGCCUUCGAGUGGGGGAUAACGUCCCGAAAGGGACGCUAAUACCGCAUGACAUCCUGCGUUUGGAAACGCGGAGAUCAAAGCCGGGGAUCGCAAGACCUGGCGCUUGAAGAGGGGCCCGCGCCUGAUUAGCUAGUUGGUGGGGUAACGGCUCACCAAGGCGACGAUCAGUAUCCGGCCUGAGAGGGCGGACGGACACACUGGGACUGAGACACGGCCCAGACUCCUACGGGAGGCAGCAGUGGGGAAUUGUUCGCAAUGGGCGCAAGCCUGACGACGCAACGCCGCGUGGAGGACGAAGAUCUUCGGGUCGUAAACUCCUGUCGAGCGGGAAGAACGCUUCCCGGGUGAAUAAUCCGGGGAAUUGACGGUACCGCUAAAGGAAGCCCCGGCUAACUCCGUGCCAGCAGCCGCGGUAAUACGGGGGGGGCAAGCGUUGUUCGGAAUUACUGGGCGUAAAGGGCUCGUAGGCGGCCAACUAAGUCGGAUGUGAAAUCCCCAGGCUUAACCUGGGAACUGCAUCCGAUACUGGAUGGCUUGAAUUCGGGAGAGGGAUGCAGAAUUCCAGGUGUAGCGGUGAAAUGCGUAGAUACCUGGAGGAAUACCGGUGGCGAAGGCGGCAUCCUGGACCGACAUUGACGCUGAUGAGCGAAAGCUGGGGGAGCAAACGGGAUUAGAUACCCCGGUAGUCCUAGCCCUAAACGAUGAAUGCUUGGUGUGGCGGGUAUCGAUCCCUGCCGUGCCGAAGCUAACGCAUUAAGCAUUCCGCCUGGGGGAGUACGGUCGCAAGGCUGAACUCAAAGGAAUUGACGGGGGCCCGCACAAGCGGUGGA
rnacentral:rRNA from 1 species